CGGUGAGCGAGCUUUGACAGCGAUGCUGGAGCACGCUUCUAACAAAAGCCACGGGGCUGAAUAGCGUGUGACGUAAGGCUUAGAGCUCCGCCUGCGGAAAAGUACCGACGGACUGUGAGGUGAGGACGGACCCCGGAGUCAGGCAUUUCAUCAUUCUUGAAGAGUUCUCCAACGGAGGGGCGUGGUCCACUAGACGACAUCCCUUCACGGGGCCUUAGAUUCUUUUUAACUUAACCUAUAUUCAAUUAUUCUAACUUUAGGGGCUUAACCUUAAUUGAAACCCAGCAGUAGUUUAACAAAAUGUAAACUGACAAUUCUUUAUUUUUCAUGUUAAAAAAAAUGCAAACCUUUUUCUAAAUAGUAGUCUUUAUGGAAAUCUGCUUGGGGGAAAAUAAAAGGUAAGACUCUCUGCCUCAGCCAGCAUUGUAAAUCUUAAUUGGAUUAAUGGAUCAGCGGCACGACUAUAGACACAUGAGACCAAGGCAAUGCUAAGCUGCCCAUUCUGUAACUGCCAGCCAGUGUAAUGCACUGACCGCACAAUGCCAGUAACAGAGACUCUAGAAACAUCCUGGCCUUUGUGUGCAAAUCCUCACCAACAACUGAACUGACAAGCGAUUCUCGACAUACGGAUCAGGUUUUUUAAAACAAAGUUGUAGGCAUAACUAAAAGGACAGGAUUAAACUAGAGGGCCUGUCUACACACAUAGAUGUUGUGGCCCUUUCAGGGGACUGGUGUCUUGUCCAGGGGACCAGAGAUUGGGGUGGUUAUCUUUGUUGUGGUGUAAUUAUUGUAAUUUGUGGUUAUUUCAAGUGUUGACCCAUUCCUAAGCAACAUGAGUGUUCGUGUGUCCGGAAUAAUGCUGCUUUGCACAAAUAAUUCUGGAUCUCAUAUAUUUUUCAAAUAUUUUAUACUUGCAACAUAUCAGAAAAACGUUGGCCUUCUGUGUGGAAUACACAUUCAUACCUCUAUGUGUAAUAUUUGUGAAUUUGGAAUAGUUAAUCUAAUCACAAAUAAAGUGUUGCAUAACCAUUUGCACCCUUUUAUUAAUGAGAGCAGAUAUGAAGCAUAUGUGUCGCCCUC